rnacentral:rRNA from 1 species
UACGAAGGGGGCUAGCGUUGUUCGGAAUCACUGGGCGUAAAGGGCGCGUAGGCGGACUUUUAAGUCGGAGGUGAAAGCCCAGGGCUCAACCCUGGAAUUGCCUUCGAUACUGGGAGUCUUGAGUUCGGAAGAGGUUGGUGGAACUGCGAGUGUAGAGGUGAAAUUCGUAGAUAUUCGCAAGAACACCGGUGGCGAAGGCGGCCAACUGGUCCGAAACUGACGCUGAGGCGCGAAAGCGUGGGGAGCAAACAGG